rnacentral:lncRNA from 1 species
UCAGGAGAUAGAAAUCAGAAAGAAGUCCAUGGUUGCUACUACUUCGAAAGGUCACGGCCACCAGAGAUACAUGUGUACACCAGGAGACCUCGGCCACAUGACGUGUUGUGCUUAUGUGCUAUGGGGUGGGGUCCGCCUACAGAAGAUAUCAUCAAAUUAGUGCACUAUAUUUACGUAGGCUCAAAGUGUCAGUUCGUUUUCUUUUGGUAUGUAUGGAUUGUGGGCCAAAACUAUAAGGUGCACAGUCUAUUUGAUUUGGAGAGUCCAAGUUUUAUUAUUUUUCUAUUUAGCAGAGAUAUAAAGUUAGGAAUGUUUGAGUCGUCCAACUUGCAGGUUAAGAUAGGUCAUUUGUUAUUUAAGGUCUGGUCGGUGCAUCAUGUAAAGCAGGUUAUUUGAUAAAAUAGACACGAUGUGUUUUCAAGGGUAGACACCCGUAUCAAGUUUAGAGGGAUCUUUAGAAAACCUCUGUGUUGCGAUUUCUUUGUAGAAAUUGUUUUUGCGCGUGAGUAUCAUCGUCGAGAUUGAUUUUCUCGUGUUGGGCCGUAAGGUUCAAACCCUCUAUUUUUCGUGCAUAUCGCGUGCACGGGUGAGAGGCUACUGCUGCUGAAGGUGGAGUGUCGUGAAAGGUCGGGCCGCAACAACAGACCGGAUCUCGCCAACGGGGUUCGGUCUACAUCAAGUGGUAUUCAGAGCAAAGGUUGUUCACGACACAAUAUUUUUCUUCAAGUUACUAUUGAAGAUUUUUUUUUAUCAUGAGAAAGGAUUGUAGCUCGCAAAUGAUGAUGGCUGUGGAGAAGGAUCCAUUGCGUGCUUUGCCGUGGUACCAAUGCUUUACGCGUGUGCGUGUAGGGCCGGCGAGUUGUGCAACAUUGAUGAAUUGCUAUUCUGGGAUGAACUUAGUGAGUCAGACUAUGGUUGAUGCUUUGAACCUGCCGUUGAUAGAACAUCCAGAACCGUAUGAGCUUUGGUGGAAGGACAAGUUUGUCAAGAUCAUGCAUCGCGUCGAGGGUGGUUUAUUCUAUGUGGAUAUGGUGAUGUAGUCAUGUGUGAUGUGCUUCCUAUGCACAUGCAUACUUGUUCAAUACUGCUAGGAAAACCAUGGACAGAUAAAAGACAGUUGACAUAUCAUUCAGUUGACGAAUUUUCUUUUGUUCGUGGAGGACAAUUCGUACCACUUGAUUCUUACACAUUAGAGAAGUAUAUGGCUGAUCGCAAGAAGCGGGAUACUGCUCAAGCUGCAUUAGAAGUAAAGAAGAAGAAGGUUGAGGUUGCUGAAAUUUCCACUGUCGCUAUUCAGUCUAGAAAAAAAAUAUUGUUGAAGAGAUCAGCUCAAAAUCGAGGACGAUUUUGUUUCAAGAGGGAGAGGAUGAUAAAGCCACUGCUAACGUCGGUAUUUUCGAAACUUCGAAGAAGGUUGAUGAAUUAAAUGUCCUAAAUAUUUAUGUGUCUAAUUAUUUUCGGUUAUGUGAGAAGGACAAAAGGGUCUAAGCAUUGGAUACUGUUACGGCUAGGUGUGUAGCCGCUGUGGAUAGCUUUGACCAAAAGCUUGAGCCUGGGAUUGAGGCGCAUCAGAGAAAAUUAGAACUAUUGAUGCAUGUUCAAGAAGACAGGAAAGUUGAGUAUGGACAGAUGAUGCAUGCACGUUCCAUGGUUUGCAUGCAUAAGUGGAAGGAGAAUCAAUCAUACCCAGGGAUUUACGUGGAUAGUAAUUUGAAGCAUCUAGCAAAGAGCACGUACAAGGAAAACUACUACUUUGCAUGCCCACGUCAACCAGAAAGUAGACUUGCUAUAGAGUUUGAUUUGUUUCUCAAUUAUAUUAUGUGUUCCAUACAAUCAGGAGAUAGAAAUCAGAAAGAAGUCCAUGGUUGCUACUACUUCGGAAGGUCACGGCCACCAGAGAUACAUGCGUACACCAGGAGACCUCGGCCACAUGACGUGUUGUGCUUAUGUGCUAUGGGGUGGGGUCCGCCUACAGAAGAUAUCAUCAAAUUAGUGCACUAUAUUUACGUAGGCUCAAAGUGUCAGUUCGUUUUCUUUUGGUAUGUAUGGAUUGUGGGCCAAAACUAUAAGGCGCACAGUCUAUUUGAUUUGGAGAGUCCAAGUUUUAUUAUUUUUCUAUUUAGCAGAGAUAUAAAGUUAGGAAUGUUUGAGUCGUCCAACUUGCAGGUCAAGAUAGGUCAUUUGUUAUUUAAGGUCUGGUCGGUGCAUCAUGUAAAGCAGGUUAUUUGAUAAAAUAGACACGAUGUGUUUUCAAGGGUAGACACCCGUAUCAAGUUUAGAGGGAUUUUUAGAAAACCUCUGUGUUGCGAUUUCUUUGUAGAAAUUGUUUUUGCGCGUGAGUAUCAUCGUCGAGAUUGAUUUUCUCGUGCUGGGCCGUAAGGUUCAAACCCUCUAUUUUUCGUGCAUAUCGCGUGCACGGGUGAGAGGUUACUGCUGCUGAAGGUGGAGUGUCGUGAAAGGUCGGGCCGCAACAACAGAC